GGCGCCCACCACCAUGCCCGGCUAAUUUUUUGUAUUUUUUAGUAGUGGUGGGGUUUCACUGUGUUAGCCAGGAUGGUCUCAAUCUCCUGACCUUGUAAUCCGCCCGCCUCAGCCUUCCAAAGUGCUGGGAUUACCGGCGUGAGCCACUGCACCCGGCCUACAUUUAUGCAAUUUUACAUAAAUGAUCAAUUGUUUAGAAUUGAAGCAUUUUCCAUGUGCUGAUUCUUAAUCUAAUUAUUGUGGGAGCUGGAGUGAUCAUGGCCUGUUUCUACCCAAACAUAGGAGGGAUCAUAAGAUAUUCAGGAGCAGCAUGUGGACUGGCCUUUGUAUUCAUAUACCCAUCUCUCAUCUAUAUAAUUUCCCUCCACCAAGAAGAGCGUCUGACAUGGCCUAAAUUAAUCUUCCACGUUUUCAUCAUCAUUUUGGGCGUGGCUAACCUGAUUGUUCAGUUUUUUAUGUGAAAUACCUCAACUGUUUUUUUCAAGAGCUCUCAUGAUAUUUUGAGCCUUGACAACAGUUCUAUAUAAAUUCACUUGUAAAUGCUGCUGUUGUGUAAUUCUAAAUAUUUUCUAAGAUAAUUUGAAAGCAAGGGAAAUAGUGGCCCCUUAAUGAGUAUUUUUUUAUUGGGGUGGGGAAAGGGGCAAAAAGAAUGAUCUUAGUGUCUUUACCUUUCUCAUAUUAACUCACCUCUUUAUUCUGUGGUCUUUUCUGAAUAGAAAUGUAUGCCCUAGGAAGAAAUCAUGCUGGGUUUUGCUUUUAGAGAUAAAAGGUGGUGGAUUUAUUUUGCCUGCAGUAAAGAUUCUCAGGGUGUCAGAGCAGCAUAUUGUCAAAUCCUGCUUCUGUUUUAUGUUUCAGUGUAUUCACUUUCAUUUUCUUACUUACUAGACCAUUUCUGCAGUUUGCCCAAACCUCUACUGUUUGGGACAGUAAGCCAAAUACCUCAUUUUUAAAAAGAAGUUUUCAUGGCAUCAGUGUUAAUAAAGUACAUUUUUAACUGAGUCUUAAUCUCUAUUUGAAGAAAAAGUAGAGACAAAAGUAAUGUCAAUGUAAUCCCCAGGAUCAUGAAAUGUAUACAAAAUAAAUAAAGUAGGAGAGUUUGUUGCUGUCU
rnacentral:lncRNA from 10 species